CUCAGGACGAACGCUGGCGGUAUGCUUAACACAUGCAAGUCGAACGGGGUCCACAGCUUGCUGGGGACCUAGUGGCGAACGGGUGAGUAACACGUGAGCAACCUGCCCUAUACAACGGGAUACCUACGGGAAACUGUAGUUAAUACGGUAUAAGACCACAUAGUCGCAUGGCUGAGGGGUAAAAGGAGAAAUCCGGUAUAGGAUGGGCUCGCGGCGCAUUAGCUAGUUGGUGAGGUAACGGCUCACCAAGGCGACGAUGCGUAGCCGACCUGAGAGGGUGGACGGCCACACUGGGACUGAGAUACGGCCCAGACUCCUACGGGAGGCAGCAGUGGGGAAUAUUGGGCAAUGGGCGCAAGCCUUACCCGGCAAUACCGCGUGAGUGAAGAAGGUCUUCGGAUUGUAAAGCUCUUUGAUCAGGGACGAACAGAUGACGGUACCUGAAGAACAAGCCCCGGCUAACUACGUGCCAGCAGCCGCGGUAAAACGUAGGGGGCGAGCGUUGUCCGGAAUGACUGGGCGUAAAGGGUGCGUAGGCGGCAUAAUAAGUUAGAAGUGAAAUACCCAGAGCUUAACUCGGGUGCUGCUUCUAAGACUGUUGAGCUUGAGUGCGGGAGAGGUUAAUGGAAUUCCUAGUGUAGCGGUGGAAUGCGUAGAUAUUAGGAGGAACACCAGAGGCGAAGGCGAUCAACUGGACCGUAAUUGACGCUGAGGCACGAAAGUGUGGGUAGCAAACAGGAUUAGAUACCCUGGUAGUCCACACUGUAAACGAUGGAUACUAGAGGCAGGAGGUAUCGACUCCUCCUGCAUCGCAGUAAACACGAUAAGUAUCCCGCCUGGGGAGUACGGCCGCAAGGUUGAAACUCAAAGGAAUUGACGGGGACCCGCACAAGCAGCGGAGCAUGUGGUUUAAUUCGAAGCAACGCGAAGAACCUUACCAAGACUUGACAUCGUAUGACCGCCAUAGAGAUAUGGAACUCCCUUUGGGACAUAUAGACAGGUGGUGCAUGGUUGUCGUCAGCUCGUGUCGUGAGAUGUUGGGUUAAGUCCCGCAACGAGCGCAACCCUUAUCAUUAGUUGCUACUAUUAAGUUAAGCACUCUGAUGAGACUGCCGGGGACAACUCGGAGGAAGGUGGGGAUGACGUCAAAUCAUCAUGCCCCUUACGUCUUGGGCUACACACGUGCUACAAUGGCUAUUACAAAGAGCAGCGAAACCGUAAGGCGGAGCGAAUCUCAAAAAGAUAGUCUCAGUUCAGACUGUGGGCUGCAACCCGCCCACACGAAGACGGAGUUGCUAGUAAUCCCGAAUCAGCAUGUCGGGGUGAAUGCGUUCCCGGACCUUGUACACACCGCCCGUCACACCAUAAGAGUCGGGAACACCCGAAGUCCGUAGCCUAACCGCAAGGGGGGCGCGGCCGAAGGUGGGUUCGAUAAUUGGGGUGAAGUCGUAACAAGGUA
rnacentral:rRNA from 1 species